AAAGAAUUAGUUAAUUUAUAACAUAAAUAUGUCAAAUUUAAAUUAUUAUUAUACAUAAUAUUCUUUU
rnacentral:tRNA from 1 species